GGACUACUGGGGUAUCUAAUCCCGUUUGCUCCCCUGGCUUUCGCGCCUCAGCGUCAGAAAAGGUCCAGCACGUCGCUUUCGCCACCGGCGUUCCUUCCGAUAUCUACGCAUUUCACCGCUCCACCGGAAGUUCCACAUGCCCCUACCUUCCUCGAGGCGACCAGUAUCAAAGGCUGUUCUCCGGUUGAGCCGGAGGAUUUCACCCCUGACUUGAUCGCCCGCCUACGCGCCCUUUAAGCCCAGUGAAUCCGAACAACGUUCGCACGGUUCGUCUUACCGCGGCUGCUGGCAC
rnacentral:rRNA from 1 species